CCUAGUGUAGCAAUUGUUUAUUCUGGAUGAGCUCAUGGAUUCACUUUGAGCUCACCAGAAAGGACACGGUGUUGCCAGGAAUUUCCUGGCGUUUCUCUAGCAUCUAGCAUACUACUGGUUUGCCUCGGGACGUUAUUUCUUUGAUGGCGGAACAGGAGCAUAAAGGAAACUGGAUGAUUGUGGCUGAGAAACAGUUCUGCUGCUUCUCUGACAGACUUCGGGUUGCCUCAGGAUCCAGAGGGUCACGGUCGGCUCAGGGAGGAAGGGAUGAGGUUCCGAGGUCUGCCUCUGUCUGCCGGUGCUCACCACUGCAUCUCAGCCGGGGCUGGAGAAGUCAAUGCAGCAGCGGAGCUGACUGCGGCUCCCCGCGGUUGCCGUGGUAACCAGGAGCAGGCGGCUGGGGAAAGCAGUGGAGAAAAGGUCAUGAAUUUACAAACAGCAAGCAGCACCUGAGCACCACCCACGGUGUGGUGGACCUUGUGGCCCUUUCCGAGGUGCGGCUCUCAGUCCACGCAUCUCCCUGUGGCGUGGACUGGCAUGGUGGUCCACUGGGUGUCAGAGUCUGUGGAACGGAUCCAUGAAGUUAACUUCAAAGCAUCUUCACCAACUCAGCAAGAAUUGAGACCUCUCCACCCCACAGCGCCAUCCAACUCAUUCCUGGCAACAGAUGGGAGGCUUUGAGUUUACUUUAGCUGGCCAGCACCGGACAGACUUGCUAUAACUCGUACCUGGGCAUUUGCACCCACCACGGCACACAUGACUCUUGUGUGUGACAUAACCCUCCUUGGCCUUGUAUCCCUGUCUAACUGCUUUAUCUGGCGGGGGCAGGCAGGGAGCUCUGGGGAGCACAGAAAGCUGAGUGCUGCCCGCGAUGGACCCUCAGAAGAAAGUAUCUCUCCAGACUGCUUCUCCCUGCCCAGCUGUGGAUGUACUUUCUGCACCCACCUUGGCUUGCUUCUGAGACAAGCUGAUGGCUGCCACCAGAUGGAAACAAAGGAGCCUUUCUCUCUGUGUGAGUCAAUACACACUGACAGGAGCAUUCCUGGAUAGACUGCCCAUGUGUGCUGUGCUUCUCUGUUGUCUCAGGCAAAUGCAGCUUUAAUGCAUUAAACGAUCCUGGAAUUUCAUCAGCUGGAAGGGGUGCCAGUCCAGACAAAUGAUACAUUUUAAAACUGAAGUUUCCAUCUUUGCUGUAUCACAUGAGCAAUCCACUCAUUUGAAUUUUCCACCAAAUGCUUUGGGCUGAAUGGGAAAAACAAACUUUAUUGGUAACACCUUGAAAUUCAUUUUACAGACUCAAUCACACCUAUCUCUGUAUCUCUUUUUUUGCUGCUGUUGUUGUUUGUUUACUUGUUUGUUUUGUUUGUUUCUUGAGACAGGGUCUCAUUACGUAGUUUCAUCUAGUCUUGAGCUCACUAUGUAGCCCAGGCUGGCCUCGAACUCAUGGCAAUUCUCCUGCCUCAGCCUCCCAAGUGCUGGGAUUACAGGUGUGCACCACCAUGCCCAGCCCAAAACUUUUUUUAUAGUUUGGGGAUUCAAUUGAAAUCCAAUUUUUCUUUUCCUGCAAAGUCCACCAAAUCUUUAUAAGCCUUUAUAAAGUGCUUUGUCUUUUCUAGUUAUCAAUUCCUAAAUGAGCAGAUGGAUUCUAGAGUAUGCAGGCCUAGCAGGGGCAUGAAUUGUAUAUAUUUGAUAAAAAAACAGUAGGGACAAUUUUGGAAGUGAAACACAUGCUAGUUUUUCUAUAUUAAAUCUAGUGGUAGCUGGGUGUGGUGCCACACACCUGUAGUCCCAGCACUUCAGAGGCAGGAGGAUCAGACACCAUGAGCUGAGGCCGGCCUGGGCUACACAGUGAGUUCAAGGCCAGCCUGAACUACAUAUGAGACCCUUUCUCAAAAAACCAAAAAUAAAUAAACCAAUAAAUAAAACAUUAUAAUAAUACAUUUAAUUCGUUUUAUGCAUUGGAGGAAGCUCUAUAUCAGCAAGUGCCUGGAGUUUAGAAUGCCACUGAGUUUAUCAAAUUAUUUUGUUUUUAUGUUAUUAUUAUUAUUAUUUUGAUUUUUUAGGGUCUUACUAUAUAGUACACUUGAACUUACUACGCGCCCCAGGCUGGCCUUGAAUUUGUGGUAAACUUCCUGCCUCAGCCUUCCAAGUGCUGGGAUUAUAGGUAUGUGUCACCACACCUGGCUGAAUUGUUUUCAUCAUCGAAGGACCUCGACGGUAAGCAUGGAGCCCUGAGUGAGGGGACAGGAGUGCCAACUGGAGUACAGCCAGGAAUGCAGGAAUUCCUUCCCCAGAACCCAGCUUUCUACUCCUCUCACGCAGCCUUGAGAAUUGUGAAUCUCAGGAUCUCAUCUUUGGAGAUUUCGACAUGGGAUUUUGGCCUUCAAGACUGUAUUUUCAGGGUUCUGAGGGCGCUGGAUGAAAGGGAUGAUAAUCCUGGAGCUCAGGUACAGCUCCCUGGGGAGGGAAGACUGCAGCUUCGAGAGGCUGGGCAGGCUCAUGUGCACCCACCCCACCUGCCGCUCUGAGCAAAUGUCUUGCUGCUGGGGCUGUACUGUCCUCUCAUGCUUCCAAACCAAUCCCCUACGUUGUCAAGGGCAUGGAAUUGGAGAGUCCACCAAGCAUUAAAAUAAGGUAGAAGACAGAAUACAUUUGACCAAAUUCCUAUCAGCAUCUGGCUUUUUUUUUGAGACAGGGUCUCACUGUGUAGUCCGGGCUGGCCUCGAACUUGCAGUGAUUCUCCUGCCUCAGCCUUCAGAGUGCUGGGAUUACAGGCAUGCACACCAAACCUGGCCCAGCAUCUUCUUAUAAUUGUAGCAUUAUAAUCAGAGAGGACAGAUGCCUCGUAGAUGCAUUUUGUCUUCAAGGGUCAUUGGCCCCAGUCCUGCACCCAUGGGAGCUGUGUGUGGGAGACACACUGACCCCAGCCUGCAUUCUCCUGUUGGGGUCACCCAAGGGGCUCUUGCUCAUCCCAGUCCAAUUUUCCUUAGUCACAUUCUCCCCUGUAUCAGUCAGUGUCCCUUAUUUCCACAGCCAUGAAAGUGUGUGGGGAGCUGGCAGGCACCGGGCUGUGGUUCACAGGGGUCCCUGCUCGUCCUCUGUGCCCCUGGUCCCGGUUCUGCCAGAUCCCUAGUGACCCACAGGGCUCUGCCACAGUCCUAAAGCAAAGGCUAGAACUCGUUUUCACUGAGCUCCCACAAAGCUGAGGCCUUGCUUGAGUUAUGUCACUUCAUCCCGUCAGCUUGCGUGCUCUGACAUCGUGUUUCACAGUGAAGAGCUUCACAGCACAGAGAGCAAGGGACCUGCUUUGUAAGUUUCUGCAGUGGGGUGAGUGGCCAAGCUGGAAUUCCCACCCAGUUCUAUGUGACAGUGCAGCUGAAAUCUCUGCUCAUUUCUCCCACCACUCAUUGCUUGGUUUAAUCUAUUUCCCCUAUUACAUUUUUAAAAAAUUGAAUGUUUAUUUUAGAACAAUAUGAAAACAUAAAAGAAUAAAAAUCUUUCAUAAUCCUACUGCCCAAAGAAAACUAAUGUUAAUAUUCACUUUUAAAAAUAUAGUCA